UGUGGCCACAUCACGUUGAAUCUCUGCUUCCGGUACGAUGACCAAAGUUAAGUAACUUCGUGCCUGGUCAGUACUUAGAUGGGUGACCGCUUUGGAAUACCAGGUGCUGUAA